rnacentral:rRNA from 1 species
ACACUCCUACGGGAGGCAGCAGUGGGGAAUAUUGCACAAUGGGCGCAAGCCUGAUGCAGCCAUGCCGCGUGUAUGAAGAAGGCCUUCGGGUUGUAAAGUACUUUCAGCGGGGAGGAAGGCGAUAAGGUUAAUAACCUUGUCGAUUGACGUUACCCGCAGAAGAAGCACCGGCUAACUCCGUGCCAGCAGCCGCGGUAAUACGGAGGGUGCAAGCGUUAAUCGGAAUUACUGGGCGUAAAGCGCACGCAGGCGGUCUGUCAAGUCGGAUGUGAAAUCCCCGGGCUCAACCUGGGAACUGCAUUCGAAACUGGCAGGCUAGAGUCUUGUAGAGGGGGGUAGAAUUCCAGGUGUAGCGGUGAAAUGCGUAGAGAUCUGGAGGAAUACCGGUGGCGAAGGCGGCCCCCUGGACAAAGACUGACGCUCAGGUGCGAAAGCGUGGGGAGCAAACAGGAUUAGAAACCCCAGUAGUCCCAUG